rnacentral:rRNA from 1 species
UACAGAGGUCCCGAGCGUUGUUCGGAUUCAUUGGGCGUAAAGGGUGCGUAGGCGGCGGGGAAAGACUGAUGUGAAAUCCUGGGGCUCAACCCUGGAACUGCAUUGGAUACUUCCUUGCUAGAGUACUGGAGAGGAAACUGGAAUUUACGGUGUAGCAGUGAAAUGCGUAGAGAUGUGGAGGAACACCAGUGGCGAAGGCGACUCUUUGGCCUGUAACUGACGCUGAGGCGCGAAAGCGUGGGGAGCAAACAGG